GCGCAGCAGGCGAGAAACCUUCGCAAUGCGGGAAACCGCGACGAGGGGACUCCCAGUGCCUGCGCUCAGCGUAGGCUGUUCCCGAGCCUAGAAAGCUCGGGGAGUAAGGGCUGGGUAAGACGGGUGCCAGCCGCCGCGGUAAUACCCGCAGCCCGAGUGGUGGCCACUAUUAUUGGGCCUAAAGCGUCCGUAGCCGGUUUAAUAAAUGCCUGGGUAAAUCGUGUAGCUUAACUAUACGAAUUCCGGGUAGACUGUUAAACUCGAGACCGGGAGAAGUUAGAGGUACUCCUGGGGUAGAGGUGAAAUUCUGUAAUCCUAGGGGGACCACCUGUGGCGAAGGCGUCUAACUAGAACGGGUCUGACGGUGAGGGACGAAGCCCUGGGGCGCAAACGGGAUUAGAUACCCCCGUAGU
rnacentral:rRNA from 1 species